GACGAACGCUGGCGGCGUGCUUAACACAUGCAAGUCGAACGGAAAGGCCCUUCGGGGUCCUCGUGCGGCAAACGGGUGAGUAACACGAGGGUUAACUGACCUGUACUUUGGGUUCAGCGUGGGAAAGUGGGUCUAAUACCGAAUAGGACCACGCGCUCCUUGUUGUGUGUUGGACAGGUUUUGCGGUGUGGGAUGGGCACGCGGCCUCUCAGCUUGUUGGUGGGGUUAUGGUCUCGCAAGGCGACGACGGGUAGCCGGCCUGAGAGGGUGACCGGCCACACUGGGACUGAGAUACGGGCCAGACGCCUACGGGAGGAAGCAGUGGGGAAUAGUGCACAAUGGGCGCAAGCCGUAUGCAGCGACGCCGCGUGGGGGAUGACUGCCUUCGGGGUGUAAACCUCUUGCGAUAGGGACGAAGCGCAAGUGACGGUACCUAUAGAAGAAGCACCGGCCAACUACGUG
rnacentral:rRNA from 1 species